rnacentral:rRNA from 1 species
AUUGAACGCUGGCGGCAUGCCUUACACAUGCAAGUCGAACGGUAACAGGUCUUCGGAUGCUGACGAGUGGCGAACGGGUGAGUAAUACAUCGGAACGUGCCUAGUAGUGGGGGAUAACUACUCGAAAGAGUGGCUAAUACCGCAUGAGAUCUACGGAUGAAAGCAGGGGAACGCAAGACCUUGUGCUACGAGAGCGGCCGAUGGCAGAUUAGGGAGUUGGUGGGAUAAAAGCUUACCAAGUCGACGAUCUGUAGCUGGUCUGAGAGGACGAUGAGCCACACUGGGACUGAGAAACGGCCCAGACUCCUACGGGAGGCAGCAGUGGGGAAUUUUGGACAAUGGGCGCAAGCCUGAUCCAGCAAUGCCGCGUGCAGGAUGAAGGCCUUCGGGUUGUAAACUGCUUUUGUACGGAACGAAAAGCCCCGGGUUAAUACCCUGGGGUCAUGACGGUACCGUAAGAAUAAGCACCGGCUAACUACGUGCCAGCCGCCGCAGUAA